rnacentral:rRNA from 1 species
UACGAAGGGGGCUAGCGUUGUUCGGAAUUACUGGGCGUAAAGCGCGCGCAGGCGGCUAUCCAAGUCAGUGGUGAAAGCCCGGAGCUCAACUCCAGAACUGCCUUCGAUACUGGGAAGCUCGAGUCCGGGAGAGGUGAGUGGAACUGCGAGUGUAGAGGUGAAAUUCGUAGAUAUUCGCAAGAACACCAGUGGCGAAGGCGGCUCACUGGCCCGGUACUGACGCUGAGGUGCGAAAGCGUGGGGAGAAAACAGG